UGCAGCUGCAUGAUAAAAUACCUGAUGGACAAAGUGCAAUUUGUUUUGUGUGUCACAACACAAGAUUAUUCGAGUUGAAGUGUUGGAAACACUUAAAAUAUAUGCACUGUAAAUUUACAGAGCUUACAGAAAACUUACAGAUUCAUUUCUCAAACAUUGCAUGCAUAGAUUCAUACUCCAGUACUCACAUUAAAACGUCAGGGCUGU